UAUGGCGAUAUCAGAUUGGAAUACCAGUGCCCAUAUGAUCACUGAAGUAAAGCAACAUUUAGCCUGGUCAGUACCUAGAUGAGUGACCACUUGAGAAUAGCAGGUGCUGUAA